GGCACUACGGUGCUGAAGCAACAAAUGCCCUGCUUCCAGGAAAAGCCUCUAAGCAUCAGGUAACAUCAAAUCGUACCCCAAACCGACACAGGUGGUCAGGUAGAGAAUACCAAGGCGCUUGAGAGAACUCGGGUGAAGGAACUAGGCAAAAUGGUGCCGUAACUUCGGGAGAAGGCACGCUGAUAUGUAGGUGAAGCGACUUGCUCGUGGAGCUGAAAUCAGUCGAAGAUACCAGCUGGCUGCAACUGUUUAUUAAAAACACAGCACUGUGCAAACACGAAAGUGGACGUAUACGGUGUGACGCCUGCCCGGUGCCGGAAGGUUAAUUGAU
rnacentral:rRNA from 1 species